UGAGUACGAGCUGCUACGGCAGCGAAGUGGGUGAUGUCAAGCUUCCAAGAAAAGCCCUAUACCCGUUAAGGCAUGAUGGCCUGUACCCGAAACCGACACAGGUGAGGUGGUAGAGAAUACCGAGGGGCGCGAGAUAACUCUCUCUAAGGAACUCGGCAAAAUGGCCCCGUAACUUCGGGAGAAGGGGUGCCACCGCAAGGUGGUCGCAGUGAAGAGGCCCAGGCGACUGUUUACCAAAAACACAGGUCUCCGCUAAGUCGCAAGACGAUGUAUGGGGGCUGACGCCUGCCCAGUGCCGGAAGGUUAAGGAAGCUGGUCAGCGUAAGCGAAGCUAGCGACUGAAGCCCCGGUGAACGGCGGCCGUAACUAUAACGGUCCUAAGGUAGCGAAAUUCCUUGUCGGGUAAGUUCCGACCCGCACGAAAGGCGUAACGAUCUGGGCGCUGUCUCGGAGAGAGGCUCGGCGAAAUAGAAUUGUCUGUGAAGAUGCGGACUACGUGCACCCGGACAGAAAGACCCUAUGAAGCUUUACUGUAGCUUGGUAUUGUGCCCGGGCUCUGAAUGCGCAUAGGUGGGAGGCUUUGAUCCAUUGCUUGUGGGUGAUGGUGAGCCAACGGUGAGAUACCACUCUUUCAGAGCUAGGGUUCUAACGGUCACCCGUCAUCCGGGGACCGGACAGUAUCAGGUGGGCAGUUUGACUGGGGCGGUCGCCUCCUAAAAGGUAACGGAGGCGCGCAAAGGUUUGCUCAGGCUGGUUGGAAAUCAGCCGACGAGUGUAAAAGCAGAAGCAAGCUUGACUGUGAGACCUACAAGUCGAACAGGGACGAAAGUCGGCUUUAGUGAUCCGACGGUUCUGAGUGGAAGGGCCGUCGCUCAACGGAUAAAAGUUACUCUAGGAUAACAGGCUGAUCUCCCCCAAGAGUUCACAUCGACGGGGAGGUUUGGCACCUCGAUGUCGGCUCAUCGCAACCUGGAGCUGAAGUCGGUCCCAAGGGUUGGGCUGUUCGCCCAUUAAAGCGGUACGCGAGCUGGGUUCAGAACGUCGUGAGACAGUUCGGUCCAUAUCCGGUGCAUGCGCAGGAAUAUUGAGAGGAUUUCUCCCUAGUACGAGAGGACCGGGAGGAACGCACCUCUGGUGUGCCAGUUAUCGUGCCAACGGUAAACGCUGGGUAGCCAUGUGCGGAGAGGAUAACCGCUGAAAGCAUCUAAGUGGGAAGCCCACCUCAAGAUGAGUAUUCCCAUGGCGUUAGCCAGUAAGGUCACGGGCAGAACACCCGUUGAUAGGCUCUACGUGGAAGCCGGGUAACCGGUGAAGCGGAGGAGUACUAAUAGACCGAGGGCUUGACC
rnacentral:rRNA from 1 species